rnacentral:lncRNA from 1 species
ACACGAUUCUUCUUCCUCUCGUCGCUCUCUUUCACGUUAUUCUGCUUAAGGUCUUCAAGUUCUUCACCUAAGAGAUCAUCAUUCUCCAAGUUCUCUCCUGCGUCUAGAAGGGAAUUUUCGAUUUCACGAUAAUCUCUUCAUCUUCUAUCGCUCAGUCAAGAUCAAGAUGAUCCUCCUCAGGAUUAUUCUCCUCCCAAUCCAUGUCGCCAUCAUCCGUCACUCCUUGCUAUGUGUCGUUGACAUCUUCCUGCAUAAACUCCUCUUCCUCCUCCCAGGUUUCUUCACUCUUAAUCUCCAUUUCUGAUGCGUUAAUUUCUGUAUUUUCAGGAUUAGCACUCGGUAAUUCUCCAAUAUGAAUUGCAUUGGAGAAUCUUGCUUCUAAAGGAGCUUCUUGAGCAUGAUUUUCCUCUUCUUCCACAGUUUGAUCAUACCAACUCUUCUCCUUGUCCAGCUGCUUCGAUAUAACCAAGAGAUUCAAGCGAAAAGGUCUUUCUCUGUUAAGAGCUUGAGAAGAAACUCCUUGUUUUACUCGUAGUGAAGAGAUCAAAGGAUCAGAGACCGUCAAUUGCGAGUCCGAGACAUGGGAUAAACCAGCAGAUUUUGAUGCUGCAGCUGGAGAUUUGUUCUGGUUCAUCCUGCGGGUCACAGCUCUUUCUUUUGAUGAGGAUGGCUUGUGAUUAUGGUUCUCCAGAGUGUCAUCAUAACGUCUUUUGCGACCUGAAUCCUUAAAGGGAGGGAUCUCGCGGACUGAAGAAGGGUUCUUAAUCUCUGAAGGUCUCAUAAGUUUCUCCCGUGUUCGGGGAAUUGAAGCUGUGCUCCAUUCAAUUCGUCGAUCAUAGCCCUGAGAGUCAUCCCUAGUCGUAUGAUGAUUUGAGUAGCGAGCAUUUGCAGGUGGGUUCCAGUUCUGAGAUCGAGAAUUGUCAAUACGACGCCAAGCAUGUUUAGAAUUAGCAUUUACAACUUGUUUGCCUUCUGUUUUUCUCCUGCGGUAGUCAGAGGUUGUUGGGUCUUCUUUAGCUUGUGUUGGCUUGACCAAGUCAGGUCUCCACCACGAAGGGUGAAUCCUUCCAUUUGUGCUGAGCUGGAGAGUUGCAGUAGGAGUAGAAAGAGUUAACUUCUUCCCUGAAGUCAGCUUUCCCAAGCUUUUGUCAUUAUCUUUUUCAAACGGUAACGUCUCCUUCUGAGCCACAAGGUUUAAAGGACAAGAUUCUUGUUCGUUGUAGAUCCUAUGACAAAGCUUACACCACCUAAAGAGUCUCUUGGAGCCGAGAGAUACCCAAACAAGCUCACCCGAAGGGAUUUAAGUCUUUUUGCGGAAUCUCAAGGGUUCAUCUGCCUUACUAGUGACUGUGUUAUUUUAAAGAUUGGAGAUGUACAACUUUUGUAAACUGUUGUCGUACUAAAUCGAACAAGACAAAGUUGAAAGACUUGUAGGUAACUGAAAACAACGGAAACAUGAGGAAUCUGCUUAUUAAGCCCAGUUGCGAUUCUCUCUUUAUUUGUUUCUUCUCUUCUCUUGUAAACAAGUGUAUCUUUUUGGUUCAUUUGUCUCUAACCUUUUUUGUAAUACAUUCUUCUUUUACUUAGAAAGUUCAUGUGCUUAACUCUGUCCAAAGUUGCAAUCCAAACUAGUAGUAAUCUUUCAUCGGAAGCGAUAUAAACCCAAAUCAAUCGUUCUUUAUUAUCCUU